CGCGGGAUGGAGCAGUUCGGUAGCUCGUCGGGCUCAUAACCCGAAGGUCGGGGGUUCAAAUCCCCCUCCCGCAACCA
rnacentral:tRNA from 1 species